CACCCACACCCAUUCACUGAUGCCUCGCCAGCUUCCAUGCCACCUGUCAGCACUGAGUAAUUAGGAGACCGCAUGGCCCACAAAGCUGCUUGUGUGGCCCGUUAUGGGAAAAAAAAAAAAAAAGGCUAACUCCUGAAUUGCACAAAUCUUGAUGGAUAGAGGGGAGAAAAGCAAGGCAGGUCCACACCCCCAUUAAGAAAAGGACACCAACUGUAGCUUGAAGGAUCUGAGGGGUCUACUCCAGAUAUCGCAGAGUGGGAGUGGAGAAAAAACAGUAGAUGUGCUGAAAUGCUUCCGGGGCCCUUGAAAAAGAGAUGGGAAGAUGACAACUUUGGUCUCAGCAGAGAACAGCAAGGAAUUGGCCAACAAGAGAACAUAGAUGUUUCGGUCAAGCUAGUCCUUUGGGUGAGAUAAGUUGGAAAAAAAGGUGUUUCUGCCACUUGAAGUGUUUGGUACAGGUUUCACAUCUUUGUGAGAUGACAUACAUGAGUUCUUGAGAGACAUUCAGAAAGUGUAAAUUGAUAUGCCAGCUAAAGCUCCCAAAAUGAAGAGAGUGCUGGUCCAGUAUAGUCUCUUGUUCAGAACGAUGAUCUCCUGUGACUUUAGAGUUUGUGCUCUGUAUGUUAUAAAGAUCUUUACUACCAAAGCCUUUUCUUGUGAGAAAUUAGGGCUCUGUGUCUUUAUUAGUAGGACAUGUGCCAUCUCCUCAUAGUUAUGUUCACUGUGGUUUUCUCAAAAACAAAGCCAAGCAUACCUUGAUCAGUGAGAUUUGCCAUUCAAAAACCAGAGAGAUGUUCAUACAUGCAUAAUUGCAUCUUUAGCUUUUCUAUCUCCGGCCCCCAGAGCUGCUUUGGGGAGUUUUAUUCUUCUAGUUUGAGCAGACACUUCUGUCAUUUCAUUUAAAGUAAAUGCCACAAUUUACAAGCCCAGCAUCAGUUCUCCUCCUUGGGGAUACUGACAGAGAGGAAAUGGGGGCUCUUUGGUCCUUUCCAAGCACAGCCUCAAAUGCUAUAUUUUGAAAAUAGAAAAUACAGAAAAAUGACAUGGUACCAAGUCAGCAAACAAUGCAUAGGGAAAUUUUGGGUAAGGCAGAAUUGUGGGAGUUAGUGUUGGACACUUGGGUUGUCUGCGACCUGUUUACAAAAGGUCAUAGGUGGUUUUCUUGGGGUCAUUGCAAAUAGUCAACUGAACAAUUCACAUCAGUCCUUGUGGAUUACAUUUACUGUACUAAAAGGAUCAAAAAGAGAAAUGGGGAAAAAAGAUGAGGACACAAGGACAGACUUCUAAAACUUAGUCAGGUGGAAGCCCCAGGAUCAGUCCAUGUUUGGUUAAUGCCUUUCUGGAAUUUGCAACCAAAUUAUUUAUAUUUGAAAAUGUAGUAGAGAUUGCUAAACAUUUAAAUAUAAGGUAUAAGACUUCAAUGUUAACUGUUAGAGCUAACUUAUUGACAGACUGGAUUCUACCAAGCAAUGACUGUUAUAUAACCUUUUCCUUAAAAGUUAAAUAUAUGGCAUGGCUAAAAUCUACAGAAUUGUGUAGAUAAAAAAUAUACUUUGAAUACAUAUCA
rnacentral:lncRNA from 1 species